UGUGAUGUAUGUAGGCCUAUCUCUCGCCUCUCGGCACUUGGUCGGGUAUUUCUUGUAUUUGCAUAUUGCAGGUAAUAAGGCUUGAUGGUUUCCCAGAACUGAGCAACAUGUGUUCGCACUUUGCAGAGGCAGGCAUUACCGGUAAGCUCAUUCAUCUACAUCAGGCUGCGCAAAAAGAUUGCAGCAGCAUCUGCAAAUACCGGAGUUCUGAACCCUACAAAUUUUGCAGCAGCAUCCGCAUGUAUCGAAAAUUUACGAAAAUUUCUAGCAGAGAAUGAAGGCAGCAUCAGGAGAAACUGUAAUCUCUCAAUUUCUGGCCAGUUUAUACGUCGUGGGUCUCGAUUAGUUUGGCAAUGUGCCAAACACAAAUCAUCCCACCCAGCUGCGCUCCGCAAAUGCCCGCCCGCGCGUCCCAGUCACCCCGCCGCUGCGCAUGCGCCGCCGCCGCCAGGUCCCACGCCGCCCUCCUCCCCACGCUCUGGAACCAGCUGCUCACCGGCUACUCCGCCGCCACCCUUCCCGGCUUCGGCCUCGCCGCCGCGCGCCGGGUGUUCGACGAGAUCCCGCGCCCCGACGCGAUCUCAUGGAACGCGCACGUCGCCGCGGGCGCGCACCCGGACGCAUGUCGCCUCCUCCGGGCCGUGCACGCGCGGGGCCUCGCCGCCAGCACUUUCGCCCUCGCCUCCGCGCUCCGCUCCGCCGUCUCCCCGCGCUCGGCGCCCAGCUGCAGCCGUUCGCCGUCAAGUCCGGCCUCGCCGACGACGUCAUCCCCGCUAGCGCGUUCCUCGACGUUUACGCGAGAUGUGGCCGCUUGAGCGAUGCUCGCUGUGUGUUCGACGGAAUGCCGGAGCGGAAUACCGUCUCUUGGAACACGCUCAUUGCUGGGUACGCGUAGUCUGGGAAUCUGGCACAAGCGAAGGCGCAGAUGAAGCCACAUUUGCCCUUUUGCUCGUUGCAGUUGACAGUCUGUUUCUUGAUGCAAGAGUUGGACGGGAAUCACCAACACCUGGGACAAGCUGUCAAUGCGGUUAGGAGGACGAUGCAAACUGGUGGUGGUGCAGGAUAAUUGCACGAAAUAUGCUCAAAAGUGCCAACUGGCCGGCGAUAGAGAAUUGGUCAGAUGGAGCGCUCCAGCUGCAAAUACGCAAUGUGCAAGUGUUGGAAUGUGAUCUUGACCAACACCAACAUUACGUGCAUAUCCACCUGCACCAACAAACAUAAGAGAGAUUAGUGAGUUUGUUACUAGUGUCGUCAUGAUCGGCAGGCGACCCUAAGGGUUAUCUGGAGUCGGCCCUGACCCCACAGUGCUAUAAGUGAAGAGUUGAUGCUUAAUGCACCUAAUCACGUCAUUAGUCAAAACACGGGUCGGGCACUGGAGGGGUUGGAAGCCCAAUUACCAUGUCUGGAGGCUGCUCCUCUACUUCCAGAUUCAGUUCUUCAUUAACCAGGAGCAAGAAGCUCCUAAUCUGGUGAAGAAUAAGAUUACUGCUUCAUCUAAAACAAUUCAUCUACGACUACAGAUGGCACUUCAAGACUCUGAGCAGCAAAUUAUGAGCUCAAAAUCAGUCAUGCUCAUGGAUCAUGGUGUUGCACAGUAGAACAAUAACGGCCUAUUUGGUUUGGCAAUUGAUUCCAUCCGGCAUGGGCUGGUCCUGCAUGCACACAGUGGAAGGGAUGACUUCACGAAGCCGCGAAGGUUUAUACCGUCCUUAAACAUCUCAUCGGUUGGACGCUUUCCUGUGAUCAUCUCUAGAAGCAUGAUUCCAUAGCUGUAGAUGUCACCCUCAAUUGAAACUUUGCACCCCAUGCCAUACUCUGCAAUAUUGUGCAAAACUUUAUAAAAAAAGAUCCUCUGGGUCCUGCAAUGCUCGAUGUUGAAGAGUCACUGGAUAGAAACUUUGCAAGCCCAAAGUCACCAAGGCAUGCAACCAUUUCAUCAUUCAGAAGCACAUUGCUUGGCUUUAGAUCGCAAUGAACCAAAG